GAUCAUGGCUCAGGAUGAACGCUAGCUACAGGCUUAACACAUGCAAGUCGAGGGGCAGCAUUUUAGUUUGCUUGCAAACUAAAGAUGGCGACCGGCGCACGGGUGAGUAACACGUAUCCAACCUGCCGAUAACUCGGGGAUAGCCUUUCGAAAGAAAGAUUAAUGCCCGAUGGUUUCAAGGGAUUGCAUGGUAUCUUGAAUAAAGAUUCAUCGGUAUGCGAUGGGGAUGCGUU
rnacentral:rRNA from 1 species